rnacentral:rRNA from 1 species
AGCUCCGUGUCGUGAGAUGUUGGGUUAAGUCCCGCAACGAGCGCAACCCCUGUGAACUGUUGCCACCGGCCCGUGAGGGUCGAGCACUCUGUUCAGACUGCCCUGUGAAACGGGGAGGAAGGUGGGGACGACGUCAAGUCAGUAUGGCCCUUACGGCCAGGGCUGCACACGUACUACAAUGCCCAGUACAGAACGAUCCGAGACCGCGAGGUGGAGGAAAUCACUAAAACUGGGCCCAGUUCGGAUUGAAGUCUGCAACUCGACUUCAUGAAGCCGGAAUCGCUAGUAAUGGCGCAUCAGCUACGGCGCCGUGAAUACGUUCCCGGGCCUU